UGGGGAAUUUUGGACAAUGGGCGAAAGCCUGAUCCAGCAAUGCCGCGUGUGUGAAGAAGGCCUUCGGGUCGUAAAGCACUUUUGUCCGGAAAGAAAUCCUUGGCUCUAAUACAGUCGGGGGAUGACGGUACCGGAAGAAUAAGCACCGGCUAACUACGUGCCAGCAGCCGCGGUAAUACGUAGGGUGCAAGCGUUAAUCGGAAUUACUGGGCGUAAAGCGUGCGCAGGCGGUUUGCUAAGACCGAUGUGAAAUCCCCGGGCUCAACCUGGGAACUGCAUUGGUGACUGGCAGGCUAGAGUAUGGCAGAGGGGGGUAGAAUUCCACGUGUAGCAGUGAAAUGCGUAGAGAUGUGGAGGAAUACCGAUGGCGAAGGCAGCCCCCUGGGCCAAUACUGACGCUCAUGCACGAAAGCGUGGGGAGCAAAGCAGGAUUAGAUACCCUGGUAGUCCACGCCCUAAACGAUGUCAACUAGUUGUUGGGGAUUCAUUCCUUAGUAACGUAGCUAACGCGUGAAGUUGACCGCCUGGGGAGUACGGUCGCAAGAUUAAAACUUAAAGGAAUUGACGGGGUCAUAGCUGUUUCCU
rnacentral:rRNA from 1 species